CACAUAGAUGGCACCAGGCAAAACCUGUGUCUAGGUCAGAUGUUAGCCUCACGCGCUGAGGGAGGGGCCUGGGCUUGGACAGAUCAAAAACCGUGAGCGCGUGUGAGCGAGACCAGAGCCUGGAGCGGCUGGCCUCGGAUACGGUGCUUGGAACGACUGGCUUAGGAGAACAUUCUCGGUGUAAAGAUUAUACUACGAUGCCUCCCCGGGGGAAGUACUACAGCAGGAGGGCUCCCCCUCCGACACGGUCCUCGCCCGAAGGAGGUGGACCCGCACGCCGGUCCCGUUCCCCGCUCGGAGCCACUUCGGGGACGUCCACGAGGCGGUCGGUAGCCACUUGGACUGUGGUCUCGCAAGGAAGACCGGUUGGCUGGGUGUCACGGUCGAAAUGGAGCUCCCAGCCCCGCCCUGUCUGUGGAGAAAGCCCGUCAAGGGUGCAGCCCCCCUUCCGUGGACUGACCUUGGAGGAGAGACACCCCUGCGAUCCCCCAAUUCCGCUGUCCGAAGAUGAAGCUCGACAACUCUGUCCCCUGUGCGGUGUACCAGAGCUACAUCGGCGUGCACACCGCCAAGGCCAGCUCCAUCAGUCUAAACUUGAAGCCUCCCGAUCAACCGCCCGUGCAACCACUGACGUCUCAGCUGCCCUCGCCACUCUACGACGUCACCGUCCUGACCUUCUGAGGGAAACGGGAACCUCUCCCCUCAUGCGCCCGCAGGUGCCUACCACCUUCCCAACACCCGGCUCCUCCGUACCUCGAGGCCCGGCUGACGAUCACAUGGACGAUACGGUUCUCGACAUGCCUGAUGAAACUGUAACGGUGUGAGCUGCUGGGGAUGUGUGGCAUUUUUCCUCGUUUUAAACUAUCAGAGUUGCAUUUGCAUGCAAUUACUUGUUAACGUAUUGACUUUGUAUUUUCUUCAUGUAUUUUUUCAACAUAUUGUGACUUCUAUUAGAGGGGGGGUAGUUGUGGUGAAUCCGGCCACCACACAUAGAUAGCACCAGGCAAAACCGGUGUCUAGGUCAGAUGUUAGCCUCACGCGCUGUGGGAGGGGCCUGGGCUUGGACAGAUCAAAAACCGUGAGCGCGUGUGAGCGAGACCAGAGCCUGGAGCGGCUGGCCUCGGAUACGGUGCUUGGAACGACUGGCUUAGGAGAACAUUCUCGGUGUAAAGAUUAUGUGAGUUAUUAAAUAUCACGUUUCUUCCUGUA